GCACAAGGGGACCCACUCAGUGCCAGCCCGCUGUGCCCGGGCAUCCCAGCCCUGGGUCCACAGUGUGAACUGGAGGCUCCUGACUGACCAAGGAGGCAAACAGCCGGGGCAGGGCAGGGACUGUAUCUGUGCAGCUUCCCCAGUGAGUGACAAGGGGACGGAUCUUGCAUGACGAGGAAGACUGAGAAGCCGGACAAGCUUUCCGGGUCUUACUUCAGUCUGCAAACAUCACCUUUCUAGAAGGGCUGUGGUGCACGGUGGUGCUUGCACCGUCGGGGUGGGCGAGAGUGCUUUCAGAAAGCAGAGCUGAGUGGGCCUCUGAGGGGCAGUGAGUACGUGCAGGCUGUGGGUGCCGGAGUCGGGGCUGUCUUCAUGGAAACCUGAAUGUGAGUGCUGCGACAUGUGCAUGGCAUAGGGAGCCCUGGGCCUGCAUGAGAUCGGACAGGGGGAGUGGAGAGGUGUCUGAAGAGCAGGAGAUGCUGGGCGACUGGCCUGGUGCAAGCAAAGGCCACUGAGCAGCAGGGCUGGAGAAGAGGAAGCCCAGAGGAGGUCGGAUCGAGGAGACCGUGUCGCAGCGGCUUCAAUGGCAGCAGGAAAACCCUAAGGCAGCUAACCCACAUAAAAGGAGAUAACUGCACAGCAAAAGCUACUUAAGAGUUAAAAAAAACAAACAAACGAGAAUCAGAAACCGCGGAGGCAAAGGUCUAAUUAGUCUAAGAAUUCUAGUAAACCGACACGAAAGACCAACAACCUGAUCCACGUGGGCAAAGGAUGCCAACAGGGAAGGAAAUGUGACUAACACCGAAAUCCCACAAAAUACGCGUAGUCCCUUCUGUACGCACAAGUUGUACGCAUCUACGGUCUCCCACCCUCACUGCAGACCAGGCCUCGGUGUGCAUUGCCGGUGGACACAGACGGGAAGCCCGUAAUGCAAGAGACGUCAGAUGGCACCUUUCCCACACUGUGGUCCUGCAGCUGUGCUCCCCCCUGUGAAGUGACCUACGUACUUGGUUUCUCAGUUCAUUACUGAAAAGUAACCCAAACGUCAGCAGGAGCCCGGGCGGACACAGUGUGCGCACAGUGGGGCUCUGCAGCCGUCCAAGGACGGCCCUGGCUGCACAGGGGAUGCCAGGCAUGGAGCAGGUGCAUUUGAGCGUGUUUGCUCCUGUAUGUACGCGCUCUGGAAGGACACGUCAUGCUGGCUGCGGGGGAGCAGGGCGGUGUGACAGGCAGGAUUCACUGAUAUUCUCAGAGAAUCAACCUGUUUUACCCCUCCUGGGCACUCACUGAGGACUCCCUCUGCCUUUUGAAUUUUCUAACGUGUGAGUUACUCAGAAUAUUCUCAUGGUGAAGAUGCUGGCUACACAGAAAACAUUCACUGGAGGUGCCGGGGAGCAGCCAGGAGACUGGCGGGGAGACCCAGGUGGCUGAGGGACCAGUGUUUGAAGGCAUCAAAUCCCCAAAGAUGAAGAGAAAAGGAAACACCACUGACCUCUGGAAAGCAGAGGGGCAGGUGACUGUAGAGACUGGAGAAGGCGAACACUAAGUCAGCAGGAGGGAAACAAAAUCAACCUGUUUUACCCCAAAGAACAUUCGGAAAGUUCAGGAGUCGGAGGUACCAGGUACAUCUGGCCGUGCAGGGUGAGGGGUGCCAUGCAGGUCAGGGAGAAGCUGGGCAGGGCAAGGGCAAGGACCAGCUCUAGGCUCUGUCUGCACAGGAUGCUGAGCAGACAGCGGGCUCUGUUGUCGCUUGGAUUCUGGGUCUCCUCCCAUCUUGGCCAAAGGCGGGGUUGAGGCAGGAGACCAACUGAGGAAGUUAAGGGGUUAAGUGAAGUCACAUUGUGUGCUGAGCAGCAGCCUCUCCUGGGAUACUGGCAAAAGGCUGGAAGUGCCUUCCUGGGGGGCACGGGUGCCUCAAACAGUCCAGCCAGAGUACCUGACAGAUCUUCACUGGCACCCACUGACACCCCCUCUCCCCACUCAUAUCCCCCAAGAUGUGGGUCUUGGGGAGUGAUGCCUCCAUGUCUUUCCCAGCCCCUCACCCACCUGCUCAGAGCUCCCAGAUUGGUGGUCCCCGUCUUAAACAUAAGCAAACAACUUGGAGGGAACAGAGACCAUAUUGGGAGAAGAAAACCUAAAACAAGUUACUGAUAUUCUCAGACAAAUAAGAAAAGACAUUGUAACUGUGAGGACAACAGGAAGUGGCUA